AGUUUUCUUAUACAACUUACAUAUCUAACAAACAUUUAUUUAUCUAAACUUACAUAACUAACAAACAUAGGUACCUUACAUAACUAACUUUCCGGAAAGUCGCACAAUACAAUUACACUUUGAAUCUUAUAAUUAAUCUUACGUUUACAACCAGGUCUUAGGUCUAGUAGGCUGUGGCUCAGAAGAACCAUCGCUAGGAUCUCCGGCUACUGCUAGACUACUAUCUACAUUGUAAUGAUCAUUAACAUCGAUUGCACUUUGACCCUAAAUCCACUCAUCCUCCCCCACGAUUUCAUUUGGCUCGAGCUGUAUACGCUGCAAUUCAUUAUCAGGUGGCACAAACAGUGUGGACUGCACCUCCGUUGGGGGAGGUGAGGUUGGCGUGGUUGGCUGCGAGGUUGGCGUGGUUGGCUGCGAGGUUGGCGUGCUUGGCUGCGAGGUUGGCGUGGUUGGCGCGGCGCGAGUCUCCUGCGCACCAGUGUCGUUCGUUUUGCUUCUAGGUGUUGUCGUACCUGUAUACGGGGUGUCCAGUAAGUCGGCGCCGAAAUAGCACCAGAUGAUCGGGACGGGCUUUCGAACUGUCAUCAGAAAAUGUAAAAAAAAAUCUAAAACGUACAGUUUUUAAAUUACAGUGACUUAUGUGUUAUCCACGAAAAAGUACACCCUGUGCCAGUCUUCGUAUUUCACACUUUCUUUAGGUGGCCUUUCGCACCACACACUUGGCACCGAUAGUUUUUAAAACGACAGUUUUCUGCGUCGUGGUUUUAAAGGCCGCUCACUGUACACCGCCGUCGAAUAUCCUCGGAACUCUGGUCCGAGCUGUGGGUGCUGUCGGAAAGCACGCGUGCGCACCUCACCCUCGCUUUCUGCUAAGCCCGUACCCGUUUGUUCACAUCUUCAAACAGCCGGUCACGUUCCUAACACGGUGCUAGCCCGAGUAUGAAACGAUCUCGCAGUAGCAUAUCCAAUGCCUCACGCGAGGCGCCCAUUCUUCGACGCUCUCGCCAUCAGAUUUUCUCGCUUCGCAAAGCUACUCUCUAUCAGCAAAAGUACAACGUCUCGGCGUGAAAUUAUUGUCUAUUUUUUCAACUAGAUCUUAGAAAGUUAAUUCUUCAAGUACAUCCAAGUGAAGUAAGUUCCGUGAAAGGCGGUGUGUGAUCCGAUUAAUGGUUUAGCAUCAAUGCGCGUUUAACUUUAUAAAUUGUAGCACUUUUAUACAUUAGUCAUUCUUGGGCGCUGUGGUCGGACCUUGUUGGAUUUCCGAUUAUAUUCGACAUUUUCACGAACUUUUUUUAUAAAUCUUAUUGGUAGCUCGUCGCCAGUGAGCUGUCUGCUACUAAAUGUAACCACCGUUCUGCUUGGGUUUGGAUACUAGUCAAUAUAAUACAGACGCAAGUACAUCAAUCGACACAACUACAGGUAUUUAGCACGACACACACAUGGAAACAUACACAUGAAAGGCACAAUGUACAAUGGUGAUUAAACAGUAGCUACUCUACUAUAUUAUGAUAAUGACUAAUAUUUACAUGU